GGAUGGCGCCUCAGUUACCUCUUGAU
rnacentral:piRNA from 1 species